CGCAAGUCUGAACCAGCCAUGUCGCGUGCAGGAUGACGGCCCUAUGGGUUGUAAACUGCUUUUUUACAGGAAUAAACGUUGCUACGUGUAGUGAUUUGAAUGUACUGUAUGAAUAAGGAUCGGCUAACUCCGUGCCAGCAGCCGCGGUAAUACGGAGGAUUCGAGCGUUAUCCGGAUUUAUUGGGUUUAAAGGGUCCGUAGGCGGUUCUUUAAGUCAGUGGUGAAAUCCCAGAGCUCAACUCUGGAACUGCCAUUGAAACUGAAGAACUUGAAUAUGGUUGAGGUAGGCGGAAUACGUUAUGUAGCGGUGAAAUGCAUAGAUAUAACGUAGAACACCAAUUGCGAAGGCAGCUUACUAAACCAUUAUUGACGCUGAUGGACGAAAGCGUGGGGAGCGAACAGGAUUAGAUACCCUGGUAGUCC
rnacentral:rRNA from 1 species